rnacentral:rRNA from 1 species
AUUGAACGCUGGCGGCAUGCCUUACACAUGCAAGUCGAACGGCAGCACGGACGUCGGUCUGGUGGCGAGUGGCGAACGGGUGAGUAAUAUAUCGGAACAUACCUUGUAGUGGGGGAUAACUAUCCGAAAGGAUAGCUAAUACCGCAUACGCUCUAAGGAGGAAAGUGGGGGAUCGCAAGACCUCAUGCUAUAAGAGUGGCCGAUAUCUGAUUAGCUAGUUGGUGAGGUAAAGGCUCACCAAGGCGACGAUCAGUAGCUGGUCUGAGAGGACGACCAGCCACACUGGAACUGAGACACGGUCCAGACUCCUACGGGAGGCAGCAGUGGGGAAUUUUGGACAAUGGGGGCAACCCUGAUCCAGCAAUGCCGCGUGAGUGAAGAAGGCCUUCGGGUUGUAAAGCUCUUUUGUCAGGGAAGAAACGGUUGUGGCUAAUAUCCAUGGCUAAUGACGGUACCUGAAGAAUAAGCACCGGCUAACUACGUGCCAGCCGCCGCAGUAA